rnacentral:rRNA from 1 species
CCAAUAGCGUAUAUUAAAGUUGUUGCAGUUAAAAAGCUCGUAGUCGAAUUUCGGGGUCUGUCCGUUGGUCGGGCUUUCGGGUCCGUACUGGCGUUAUGGAUUCCUACCUUCUGAAUAACCGGCAUGCCAUUAAUUUGGUGCGCUGGGGAAGCAGGACUGUUACCUUGAAAAAAUUAGAGUGCUUAAAGCAGGCUAUUGCCUGAAUACAUUAGCAUGGAAUAAUGAAAUAGGACGGCAUGGUUCUAUUUUGUUGGUUUCUAGGAUCACCGUAAUGAUUAAUAGGGAUAGUUGGGGGCAUUAGUAUUCAAUUGUCAGAGGUGAAAUUCUUGGAUUUAUUGAAGACUAACUUCUGCGAAAGCAUUUGCCAAGGACGUUUUCAUUAAUCAAGAACGAGAGUUAGGGGAUCGAAGACGAUCAGAUACCGUCGUAGUCUUAACCAUAAACUAUGCCGACUAGGGAUCGGACGAUGUUAAUUUUUUAAUGACUCGUUCGGCGCCUUACG